GGUGGAAAUGUUGAGGCUUUUUAGGCUUGGAUAUUAAAGGGUUAAAGUUGAUAACAUUUUCUAAAAAGCGUUAGCUGAUGUGUUAACAGCAAUGAAUUAUUUGCAUAACUAGCUUAAAUAUAGCCUAACGUUACCCUUCCCCUCUUAUUUUUCCCUCUUUAUACAGGUCUGUGAAGGGGGUCCCCAUCCUGAUGAAGAAGCAAUCUAAGGCUGCUGUUUUGAGAUGUAUGCAGUUGAAAGGAAGAUUACAGGGAGGAAUGAAGGAAUGCAUAUCUUUCUCAGUAUCCUGGAGUAACAUGGGAUUGAUCAUAGCGACAUGAGAGGAACAAGAACAAUUCAAAUGUUUCUAGACUUGUAGCUUUACAGAAAACAGGCGUUCAGCCUUUUUGCUUGCAAGUCCUCACAAUGAAUCAAUGCCUACCUCCAUUGUACAAUGAUUUCUGCAUUUUUGGAAGACUUGAAUAAUUGAAUGUAUGCUGAGAAUCACAAGGAAAUGAAAAAGCAAAUAUUACAGGAACACCUGAAAAAACAAGACAUUUAUGUUCUGCUUUCCUGAAAAAUCACCUUCUAAACACUUUCUUAAAGAGCAGCUAAAUACCAGGCUGUCCAGUGAUGUCACAGUGUACUGACACACACACCUGUACACAACCGAGAAGUGAAACCACUGGAGAUAAGCUUACACAAAAUUUUCUUUAAACCAAGUGGGUUGAAACCAUUGUUAAAGUGCAGUUCCUUGAAUGGACACUUGAGGCCUGCUCCAAAAGCAAAUCAAUCCCCAUAGAAAUAUACAGAAAUACACG
ensembl:lncRNA